AACACGUGGCUAAUCUGCCCUCGAGAGUGGGAUAACUUCCCGAAAGGGAUGCUAAUACCGCAUAAGCUCACGCGAAGUAGAGGCGAGUGAGAAAAGGAGCAAUCCGCUUGAGGAGGAGGUCGCGGCCCAUCAGGUAGUUGGUGAGGUAACGGCUCACCAAGCCGACGACGGGUAGGGGGCCUGAGAGGGUGGUCCCCCACACUGGGACUGAGACACGGCCCAGACUCCUACGGGAGGCAGCAGUGAGGGAUAUUGCACAAUGGGCGAAAGCCUGAUGCAGCGACGCCGCGUGGGUGAAGAAGGCCUUCGGGUCGUAAAGCCCUUUUCCCACUGAAGAGGAAGGACGGUAAGUGGGGAAUAAGUCUCGGCUAACUACGUGCCUGCAGCCGCGGUAAAACGUAGGAGGCAAGCGUUAUCCGGAGUUACUGGGCGUAAAGAGCGCGCAGGCGGUUCGAUAAGUGGGUCGUGAAAGCUCCCGGCUAAACUGGGAGAGGACGAUUCAGACUGUCGGGCUAGAGGAUGGUAGAGGGGCGUGGAAUUCCGGGUGUAGCGGUGAAAUGUGUANAGAUCCGGAGGAACACCAGUGGUGCAGACGGCGCCCUGGGCCACACCUGACGCUGAAGCGCGAAAGC
rnacentral:rRNA from 1 species